rnacentral:rRNA from 1 species
AUUGAACGCUGGCGGCAUGCCUUACACGUGCAAGUCGAACGGCAGCACGGGAGCAAUCCUGGUGGCGAGUGGCGAACGGGUGAGUAAUACAUCGGAACGUGCCCAGUAGCGGGGGAUAGCCCGGCGAAAGCCGGAUUAAUACCGCAUACGACCUACGGGUGAAAGGGGGGGAUCGCAAGACCUCCCGCUAUUGGAGCGGCCGAUGUCAGAUUAGGUAGUUGGUGGGGUAAAGGCCUACCAAGCAGACGAUCUGUAGCUGGUCUGAGAGGACGACCAGCCACACUGGGACUGAGACACGGCCCAGACUCCUACGGGAGGCAGCAGUGGGGAAUUUUGGACAAUGGGCGCAAGCCUGAUCCAGCCAUGCCGCGUGCGGGAAGAAGGCCUUCGGGUUGUAAACCGCUUUUGUCAGGGAAGAAACGCGCUGGGUUAAUACCUCGGCGUAAUGACGGUACCUGAAGAAUAAGCACCGGCUAACUACGUGCCAGCCGCCGCAGUAAAAC